rnacentral:tRNA from 1 species
GGAUUGUGACUCAGCGGUAGAGCGCUCACCUAGCAAGGGCAGGACCUGGGUUCAAUCCUCAGCACCA